UCNCUUUCAACAACGGAUCUCUUGGUUCUCGCAUCGAUGAAGAACGUAGCGAAGUGCGAUAAGUAAUGUGAAUUGCAGAAUUCCGUGAAUCAUCCGAAUCUUUGAACGCAAAUUGCACUCUCUGGCAACCCGGGGAGUAUGCCUGUUUGAGGGUCAGU
rnacentral:rRNA from 1 species